AUGUGCUGCUUCUAAUCGUCCUUCAGGACAAUUAUUGACCAUUUGACCUCAAAUCAGGUAGGACUACCCGCUGAACUUAAGCAUAUCAAUAAGCGGAGGA
rnacentral:rRNA from 1 species